CGCGUAGGCGGCCCGCGAGGUCGGGGGUGAAAGCCCGCAGCUUAACUGCGGAAGGGCCUUCGAUACCGGCGGGCUGGAGGAAGGUAGGGGUGCGCGGAACUUCUGGUGGAGCGGUGAAAUGCGUUGAUAUCAGAAGGAACGCCGGCGGCGAAAGCGGCGCACUGGACCUUUUCUGACGCUGAGGCGCGAAAGCUAGGGGAGCAAACGGGAUUAGAUACCCCGGUAGUCCUAGCCCUAAACGAUGGGUACUAGGCCGUGGGCCAGUCAUGGGCUCACAGCCGAAGCAAAAGUGUUAAGUACCCCGCCUGGGGAGUAUGGUCGCAAGGCUGAA
rnacentral:rRNA from 1 species